UCCGAGUUGACCCCGGCAGUCUCCUAUGAGUCCCCACCAUCACGUGCUGGCAACAUAGAACGAGGGUUGCGCUCGUUGCGGGACUUAACCCAACAUCUCACGACACGAGCUGACGACAACCAUGCACCACCUGUGAACCGGCCCCAAAGGGGAAACCACAUUUCUGCGGCGAUCCGGCCCAUGUCAAGCCUUGGUAAGGUUCUUCGCGUUGCAUCGAAUUAAUCCGCAUGCUCCGCCGCUUGUGCGGGCCCCCGUCAAUUCCUUUGAGUUUCAACCUUGCGGUCGUACUCCCCAGGCGGAGUGCUUAAUGUGUUAGCUACGGCACCGGAGGGGUCGAUACCCCCGACGCCUAGUGCCCACCGUUUACGGCGUGGACUAC
rnacentral:misc_RNA from 1 species